rnacentral:rRNA from 1 species
CUCAAGGAUUAAGCCAUGCACGUCUAAGAACGUAGGCUUCAGCCAUCAAUCUGUGGAAGGCUCAUUACACGAGUUAGAAACUCUCUUACCGCGCCAUUCUCAUUGGGAUAACACUGCUAAAUGUAGUGAUAAUACCUAAAGUACGCAUGCUGCAUCAGGCAUGCACCUGAUGUCCACUGCAGCGCAGACACCAUGCGGCGUGAAUGCAGGACAUCACCCAGAGAAGCACUGUCUUCUCAUAGGAACCGUUGAUCAUCAGCGGUCGACUAGUAGUCUUACUUCUCUAUCAGCUUGGCGGUUAGGUAAGGACAAAUCGUGGCAACAACGGAUACGGGGAAUCAGUGUUCGAUUCCGGAGAGGGAGCCUGACAAACGGCUACCACAUCCAAGGACGGCAGCAGGCGCGAAAAUUACCCAAUCAUAACACCUCAUGGAGGUAGCGACAACUAAUAGCGACCUUCUGGAUUCUUCUAGAAGGGUACCACCAUCCGGUGGUUUGCAAUGAGUUCAUCGUAAAUAACUGAGCGAGUAACAAUUGGAGGACAAGUUCGGUGCCAGCACCCGCGGUAAUUCCGACUCCAAGAGUGUACACCUACAUUGCUGCAGUUAAAACGCUCGUAGUCUAUACAAAGACCAAUCACCAUAGGGCACGUGGCCAGCAGCGCGCAUUUGUCUGCUGAUUUCUGUGCAGUGGUGGCGGCCCGUGCGAUCUCAUUCACGCGGUGUGUCUGCGCCACUGACAGAACGUCGUGCCACUAUGUGAUUAGGCUUUUUCGAUCGUGAACAAAACAGUGCGAUCAAAGCAGGCACUGUAAUAUCAGCUCGAAUGUACUAGCAUGAAACCGAAUAAAUAAGCUGUUGCCCAUAUGCAUCAGUUGCAUCCAAUAAUAGGAGGCUGAUGUAGGGUACUGGUAUUGCUGGCGCAGAGGUGAAAUUCCGACAUUCUAGCAAGACCGUCAGAAGCGAAAGCUGACACAUCUCUUGCGCCUCCAUUGAUCAGGAACGAAAGUUAGGGGAUCGAAGAUGAUUAGAUACCGUCGUAGUCCUAACCGUAAACUAUACCACCAGGCGGUUGGUGGAACACAACAGAGAUUCUCUCAGAUGCCCAGGGAAACCAAAAGGUUUUGGGUUCUGGGGGGAGUAUAGUCGCAAGGCUGAAACUUAAAGGAAUUGACGGAAAGGCACCACCAGGGGUGGAGUCUGCGGCUUAAUUCGACUCAACACGGGAAAACUCACCAAGUCCAGAUAGUGUAAUGAUGACGGGUAAACC